rnacentral:rRNA from 1 species
UACGUAGGGGGCUAGCGUUGUCCGGAAUCAUUGGGCGUAAAGCGCGUGUAGGCGGUCCGGUAAGUCCGCUGUGAAAGUCGGGGGCUCAACCCUCGAAAGCCGGUGGAAACUGUCGGGCUAGAGUGCGGAAGAGGCGAGUGGAAUUCCUGGUGUAGCGGUGAAAUGCGCAGAUAUCAGGAGGAAUACCGAUGGCGAAGGCAGGUCUCUGGGCUGACACUGACGCUCAUGCACGAAAGCGUGGGGAGCAAACAGG